AAGAGCUCGUAGGCGGUUUGUCGCGUCUGCCGUGAAAGUCCGGGGCUCAACUCCGGAUCUGCGGUGGGUACGGGCAGACUAGAGUGAUGUAGGGGAGACUGGAAUUCCUGGUGUAGCGGUGAAAUGCGCAGAUAUCAGGAGGAACACCGAUGGCGAAGGCAGGUCUCUGGGCAUUAACUGACGCUGAGGAGCGAAAGCAUGGGGAGCGAACAGGAUUAGAUACCCUGGUAGUCCAUGCCGUAAACGUUGGGCACUAGGUGUGGGGGACAUUCCACGUUUUCCGCGCCGUAGCUAACGCAUUAAGUGCCCCGCCUGGGGAGUACGGCCGCAAGGCUAAAACUCAAAGGAAUUGACGGGGGCCCGCACAAGCCGGCGGAGCAUGCGGAUUAAUUCGAUGCAACGCGAAGAACCUUACCAAGGCUUGACAUGAACCGGAAACACCUGGAAACAGGUGCCCCGCUUGCGGUCGGUUUACAGGUGGUGCAUGGUUGUCGUCAGCUCGUGUCGUGAGAUGUUGGGUUAAGUCCCGCAACGAGCGCAACCCUCGUUCUAUGUUGCCAGCGCGUUAUGGCGGGGACUCAUAGGAGACUGCCGGGGUCAACUCGGAGGAAGGUGGGGACGACGUCAAAUCAUCAUGCCCCUUAUGUCUUGGGCUUCACGCAUGCUACAAUGGCCGGUACAAAGGGUUGCGAUACUGUGAGGUGGAGCUAAUCCCAAAAAGCCGGUCUCAGUUCGGAUUGGGGUCUGCAACUCGACCCCAUGAAGUCGGAGUCGCUAGUAAUCGCAGAUCAGCAACGCUGCGGUGAAUACGUUCCCGGGCCUUGUACACACCGCCCGUCAAGUCACGAAAGUUGGUAACACCCGAAGCCGGUGGCCUAACCCCUUGUGGGAGGGAGCUGUCGAAGGUGGGACUGGCGAUUGGGACUAAGUCGUAACAAGGUAACCGUUA
rnacentral:rRNA from 1 species